rnacentral:rRNA from 1 species
UAGGGAAUCUUCGGCAAUGGGGGCAACCCUGACCGAGCAACGCCGCGUGAGUGAAGAAGGUUUUCGGAUCGUAAAGCUCUGUUGUAAGAGAAGAACGUGUGUGAGAGUGGAAAGUUCACACAGUGACGGUAACUUACCAGAAAGGGACGGCUAACUACGUGCCAGCAGCCGCGGUAAUACGUAGGUCCCGAGCGUUGUCCGGAUUUGUUGGGCGUAAAGCGAGCGCAGGCGGUUUAAUAAGUCUGAAGUUAAAGGCAGUGGCUUAACCAUUGUUCGCUUUGGAAACUGUUAAACUUGAGUGCAGAAGGGGAGAGUGGAAUUCCAUGUGUAGCGGUGAAAUGCGUAGAUAUAUGGAGGAACACCGGUGGCGAAAGCGGCUCUCUGGUCUGUAACUGACGCUGAGGCUCGAAAGCGUGGGGAGCAAACAGG